AAAGGUCACUGUCCGGGUACCAGGAUUUGCUGGGUGCAGGGAAGGUCGGAGGGCACAUUCGUUUGGUGACCGUAUGGUCACGGCAACGACGGCCGGGAUUAGCACCACACUAACACCCUUUUGGGACAACACUCAUUUACUGAUACAUUCCUUGGUUAAUUCACAUUACUGAUCACUGAUACAUGUUGUAAAUAAAAGAUCUGUUGGCUAAAAUGUACAAA